CGUGCGGAGCUUACCAUGCAGUCGAGCGGAUGAAGGUAGCUUGCUACCGGAUUCAGCGGCGGACGGGUGAGUAAUGCUUAGGAAUCUGCCUAUUAGUGGGGGACAACGUUCCGAAAGGAGCGCUAAUACCGCAUACGUCCUACGGGAGAAAGCAGGGGACCUUUGGGCCUUGCGCUAAUAGAUGAGCCUAAGUCGGAUUAGCUAGUUGGUAGGGUAAAGGCCUACCAAGGCGACGAUCUGUAGCGGGUCUGAGAGGAUGAUCCGCCACACUGGGACUGAGACACGGCCCAGACUCCUACGGGAGGCAGCAGUGGGGAAUAUUGGACAAUGGGGGGAACCCUGAUCCAGCCAUGCCGCGUGUGUGAAGAAGGCCUUUUGGUUGUAAAGCACUUUAAGCGAGGAGGAGGCUACCUAGAUUAAUACUUUAGGAUAGUGGACGUUACUCGCAGAAUAAGCACCGGCUAACUCUGUGCCAGCAGCCGCGGUAAUACAGAGGGUGCGAGCGUUAAUCGGAUUUACUGGGCGUAAAGCGUGCGUAGGCGGCCAAUUAAGUCAAAUGUGAAAUCCCCGAGCUUAACUUGGGAAUUGCAUUCGAUACUGGUUGGCUAGAGUAUGGGAGAGGAUGGUAGAAUUCCAGGUGUAGCGGUGAAAUGCGUAGAGAUCUGGAGGAAUACCGAUGGCGAAGGCAGCCAUCUGGCCUAAUACUGACGCUGAGGUACGAAAGCAUGGGGAGCAAACAGGAUUAGAUACCCUGGUAGUCCAUGCCGUAAACGAUGUCUACUAGCCGUUGGGGCCCUUGAGGCUUUAGUGGCGCAGCUAACGCGAUAAGUAGACCGCCUGGGGAGUACGGUCGCAAGACUAAAACUCAAAUGAAUUGACGGGGGCCCGCACAAGCGGUGGAGCAUGUGGUUUAAUUCGAUGCAACGCGAAGAACCUUACCUGGCCUUGACAUACAGAGAACUUUCCAGAGAUGGAUUGGUGCCUUCGGAACUCUGAUACGGUGCUGCUGGCUGUCUCCACCCCGGGCCGGGAAUGUUGGGUUAGUUCCCAACGAACG
rnacentral:rRNA from 1 species